rnacentral:rRNA from 1 species
GACGAACGCUGGCGGCGUGCUUAACACAUGCCAGUCGAACGGAAAGGCCCUGCUUUUGUGGGGUGCUCGAGUGGCGAACGGGUGAGUAACACGUGAGUAACCUGCCCUUGACUUUGGGAUAACUUCAGGAAACUGGGGCUAAUACCGGAUAGGAGCUCCUGCUGCAUGGUGGGGGUUGGAAAGUUUCGGCGGUUGGGGAUGGACUCGCGGCUUAUCAGCUUGUUGGUGGGGUAGUGGCUUACCAAGGCUUUGACGGGUAGCCGGCCUGAGAGGGUGACCGGCCACAUGGGGACUGGGAUACGGCCCAGACUCCUACGGGAGGCAGCAGGGGGGAAUAUGGCACAAUGGGCGGAAGCCUGAUGCAGCAACGCCGCGUGCGGAAUGACGGCCUUCGGGUUGUAAACCGCUUUCGCCUGUGACGAAGCGUGAGUGACGGAAAUGGGUAAAGAAGCACCGCCGAACUACUU